CCUACGGGUGGCAGCAGUGGGGAAUAUUGGACAAUGGGGGAAACCCUGAUCCAGCGACGCCGCGUGGGUGAUGAAGGCCUUCGGGUCGUAAAGCCCUGUCGGAGGGGACGAAAUGCGAGAGGGCGAACAGCCUUCUCGCUUGACGGUACCCUCAAAGGAAGCACCGGCUAACUCCGUGCCAGCAGCCGCGGUAAGACGGAGGGUGCAAGCGUUGCUCGGAAUUACUGGGCGUAAAGGGCGCGUAGGCGGCCUGCUAAGUUCGGUGUGAAAGCCCCCGGCUCACCCGGGGAAGGGCGCCGGAUACUGGCAGGCUAGAGUACCGGAGAGGAGGGUGGAAUUCCUGGUGUAGCGGUGAAAUGCGUAGAUAUCAGGAGGAACACCGGUGGCGAAGGCGGCCCUCUGGACGGAUACUGACGCUGAGGCGCGAAAGCGUGGGGAUCAAACCGGAUUAGAUACCUCUGUAGU
rnacentral:rRNA from 1 species